UCUCCCUUUGCAUUGAACUUUGAGCGUCGUAACUUUGCAGAUGUUGUUUAUCCUCAAACAGCAACAUUACACACUAAAUAAAGUAAAAAAAAAGUGAAAUCUUAAUCAACAACCCCUUUAAAAGUGUAGUGGUUGAAAUGGGUACUGCAGUCCAAAUUCAAAAUAUUUUAGAGAGUUGAAUUUGUUAAUUUCUGAAUUUUGCACAAUUCUGCUUGACAGACGUGGUCACUCAAGACCUGCAUGAAGAUUCUUCCAAAGUUUUCCUUCUAUGCUUACAGGUUUGGAAGGAUAUGAGGGUGAGUAUAUCAUGGCAAAAUUUUCAGUUUUAGGUGAAACAACCCUUUAUCUUGGCCUUUUGAGUCAGUCAAUUGUUCAUCUUUCUCAUCAUCAUGUACAGAAAGUUAUAAACUACCUACUUCUUGUGGAGACAUAUUUAGGCUGUGCUUUAGAGUUCUUCUAUCAUCAGAUUUUCUGGGAAAAUCACUUUGAGUUUAAUGAACAGAAAGUUCUGUAGCAGACAGGGUGUUUAAACUAGCAGCCAGUUCCCAGAAAGAUUUUAAUUAUGUUCACUUCCUGUCUAAACUAAUGAACAUGACAUGCAACGCAAAUAUGUAGACAGACGCAUCCAGUGAAGACUGAAAUCUCACCCACAGUUAUAAUUUGCUCUAAUUUUCCUUCAACUAAAAGCUCAAGAUUGUGAGCCUGUCAUCCUCACAUUUCGUUUCAUUUAAUAUUUUGAACAUUUUCUUUAAAGGGUUUGUUCACCCAAAAAUGAAAAUAAUGUCAUUUAUUACUCAUUCAUCUUUAGAACAGAAAUUAAGUUAUUUUUGGGUUUUCAUUUUUGAGUGAACUAACACUUUAUCAGCAUAAAUUUUGCAGUUUUAAUUGUAAUAAAAUCACUUCAGAAAUAAUAGCUGAGUGAAAACAAUAACACAGGCAUUAAAAAGCAAAUGAGAAACCUGCUGAAAAGCCCUGACCUCAUUUGGUGUUCCCUAAAAAAUGUCUAGCCUUUUAAAAAUUGCUAGUAAAUCUCUCAUUAUUAUGCUGUAUUAUCACCAAAUAUUGGAUUCAAUCUUUUUGUCAACUUGUUUUCUUUCAAUUAACACAGGUUUUGUAUUUCUUUUUGGAACUGAAAUUGAUCAUAAUGAUCUGAGAUUAUGUAGCCCUACCAGUUUUUGUGUGGAAAAACAGUUCAUUCAAGCUUAUUCACCUCAAAAAAAAAAAAAAAAAAAAAACCCUGACAAACUGUUUAAAAUGAUAAAGGAAAUUAUAAAUUCUGGCUGCUGCCAGAAUGUGAUUAUUUCCAAAAGCAAUUUGCAGUCCCUUGUGUUAGUGUCUAAUCAUUACAAACAAAUGAGUGUAUAUAAACUGCUUUAUUGAUGCAUUUAUCUCUACAGUAUUAACAAAAUAUAAUUAAUUAUAAACUGUACAGAUAUAAUCUGAGGAAGUGGGGAUAUUUAUUGGUUCACAGAUGUUCCUCAAUGCGUCUUACCCAGGGUCCAAAUACAAUGCAAGUAAAAAAGGGAUUUGGUGAGUAAAUGAAAAAUGCAUUACCUUUCUUUUGUAGAAACUGCAUCUCAACAUAAUGCAGGCUUCAAACGAAUCAAUGCAUGCCACAAAAAAUGAAAACGGCUAUUCCUUUGUCAAAAAUAUAUCAAGCAAAUACAGCAGGAUACAGUUUCAUUGCAGGUUGAAAUAUUAAUGGCCAGUGAUGAAUCUUCAUAAUUAGCAGAAAGUGUUCAUUCCUGUGAGAAAAUCAAUUAUAUGUGCAAAUGUGACGGACUGAGAUCUCUUCUAUUUUCUGCAGAAUACCUAAAAGGUCAUGCAUUAUUAUUUUUUACUGUCUCGCUUUACUUUUUACUAUUGUACUUGACCUUGUGAGCUCAACAAAAGCUGUUAAAAAUGUCGUCAUCUCCUGCUUUUCUUUGGUCUAGAGGUAAAUAAUGCUGUUUCUAAGCUCAAUAAAUCUGCUGCUGUUGCUGUCCAACACUGCGAUCAGUUUCAUUGCCUGCCAACUUGAGGAAUGAUUACAUGCAUCUGAGAAAAAGGUGAGUGAUGUGCAGUUUAUUUUUAUUGCCUUAUGAAAAAGUUGAGAUUACAAGAAAACAAGACAGAAAAUUGUGUGAAGCUGCUGUCAAAUAAAUAUAUGCCUUCUCUCUUCUUGAACCUGAUGCAGUUCUCCUCCAUGCAUGGAAAUCCUGUCCGCGUUUACCCGUGGAGAACAGAUUCUGUGCAUCAAUGUCAAACUCUGAGAGAGGGAUUUCAACCUAAUUCAGUUAAUCACAAAGAGCACAUGGAACACUCUAUAUAUGUCAAUGAGAAAAGCUGUGAGUACAGCUGAGCGCUUUAAUCAGCUCUGAGAGACGACAGCAGCCAGUCAUGAACCGCCCCGCGUGCCACGGCUUUACUGAGAUGGGCCUUCGUAAUCAGUACAAAUGAGAGUGGGACGCACUUCAGCAGAGAUUAGAGACCGCAACAUACACGCUUGACUGCAGAGUGAGACCUGAAAUAUACUCUACGCGAGUACGUGAGCGCAAAUGCAAGCAUGCAGUGCCGCGGUGGUAUGGGCGGCUUUUUCCGAUCUGGAGGCGGCGGACGGACCCCUUCCUCCAGCUGCAUGAGGCGGGCCACAUCUGGAGGGAUGUGCUCGGGUUUGCCCUCUGGUGGCGGGGGCUGGAAACUACCAUUGUUCUGCUGACAGUUUGGCAAACCCUGAUAUGGGCCAUGAUUCCUGUGGCCAGAGCGUCGCCCAUCACAUUGACCAUGGUGCGAAAUCUGUCUCUGAAGAGCGAUAAUGAGAGUGAUGUCAUCAGUGGGCAGUCCUACAGAUGUCAGCACUAUUACCAUAGUGACCAGACCGGCCUGUGGGAUCCCGGCUGCACCGAUGCUCGCUGCCGUCGCUGUAAUACUGGAAAACAUGUAGACACAUGUGAACCACAGCCACUGGCAGAGGUCACAACCUCCUGCUGACGGGGUGUGUAGUUUGAAAUGAGAGCUUCAAGCGUGUGCUGAAAUCUGUGUUUGUGUGUGUUGUACCUGGAGGACGUGGCCAGUGAGAUGAGCAGCGCCUGCAGGAUUCCUCGGAUGUAGACGAUGGGGCUCUUCUUGGUGAUGAAGAAGUACAUGCUGGGCAGAAUGAAGAGGCCGUGCAGAAU